UUUUUGUUUUUUCCUCUCAAUUCUGAUCAACCUCCGUCUGUUUUCUACGUAUAUUAUCCCUCUUGAUCACUGUUUUUUAUCCUUUUUGAUUGAUUCUGUGUGUGAGUGUUGCCAUGUGAAUGUUCUCCGAUGGUCAGUGUGAAUUGUGUGUGUAUGGUGUGGUCUCACGAUGUGUAUUAUGAGAGUGUAUAUAUGGAGGAGUCUGGGUGUGUGUGUGUGUGU
rnacentral:lncRNA from 1 species